rnacentral:rRNA from 1 species
CCUACGGGAGGCAGCAGUGGGGAAUAUUGGACAAUGGGGGCAACCCUGAUCCAGCCAUGCCGCGUGUGUGAAGAAGGCCCUCGGGUUGUAAAGCACUUUCAGUGAGGAAGAACGCCUGGUGGUUAAUACCCAUCAGGAAAGACAUCACUCACAGAUGAAGCACCGGCUAACUCCGUGCCAGCAGCCGCGGUAAUACGGAGGGUGCGAGCGUUAAUCGGAAUUACUGGGCGUAAAGCGCGCGUAGGUGGCUUGAUAAGCCGGUUGUGAAAGCCCCGGGCUCAACCUGGGAACGGCAUCCGGAACUGUCAAGCUAGAGUGCAGGAGAGGAAGGUAGAAUUCCCGGUGUAGCGGUGAAAUGCGUAGAGAUCGGGAGGAAUACCAGUGGCGAAGGCGGCCUUCUGGACUGACACUGACACUGAGGUGCGAAAGCGUGGGUAGCAAACAGGAUUAGAUACCCUAGUAGUC